UCUCGCAUCGAUGAAGAACGUAGCGAAAUGCGAUACUUGGUGUGAAUUGCAGAAUCCCGUGAACCAUCGAGUCUUUGAACGCAAGUUGCGCCUGAAGCCAUUAGGCUGAAGGCACGUCUGCCUGGGCGUCACG
rnacentral:rRNA from 1 species